GAUGAACGCUGGCGGCGUGCUUAACACAUGCCAGUCGAACGAAGCACUUUAUUUGAUUUCCUUCGGGACUGAUUAUUUUGUGACUGAGUGGCGGACGGGUGAGUAACGCGUGGGUAACCUGCCUUGUACAGGGGGAUAACAGUUGGAAACGGCUGCUAAUACCGCAUAAGCGCACGGCAUCGCAUGAUGCAGUGUGAAAAACUCCGGUGGUAUAAGAUGGACCCGCGUUGGAUUAGCUAGUUGGUGAGGUAACGGCCCACCAAGGCGACGAUCCAUAGCCGACCUGAGAGGGUGACCGGCCACAUUGGGACUGAGACACGGCCCAAACUCCUACGGGAGGCAGCAGUGGGGAAUAUUGCACAAUGGGCGAAAGCCUGAUGCAGCGACGCCGCGCGAGCGAAGAAGUAUUUCGGUAUGUAAAGCUCUAUCAGCAGGGAAGAUAAUGACGGUACCUGACGAAGAAGCACCGGCUAAAUACGUG
rnacentral:rRNA from 1 species